GGGCGGCGCCCAUGGCGGCUGCGAACGCGGCGCCGGCCGACUCGGUGCCUCCAGGGUCGGGGGUCUGCGGCGCCUUGAGCAGUCACGCCGACCCCGGGGGCCGGGGCCUCGGGUCCGUGCCCCUCUGCGGGGCGGCUGGCCAGAACAGAGGAAACACUGUUUUGGAGAAGAAUCCUUUACCCACCUGGAAUUUAACACUGAUUCUGCAAGCCCACCGCCCCUGGGCUGCCGGGUCCAGCUGUACUCGCUUCCUGCCCUCCAGCACCCCCAUGCUCUUCCAAGAUGCCGGCUGUCCUCAUAUUUAUUUUUCCAUUUGAACUUAUUAAAUAAGUGCUGUCAAGAUCAAAAUAAACUCAUGAAAUGCGGGUAGGAAUUACAUUUAAAGAUUAAGGGAAAGUUGAUAACUUACCCAACUAGGGAUCUAAUACUUUUUUAUUCAAAUGUUAUAUUUUCAUAUUAAUCCUUUGCAUCCUGUUAUGUUUAUUAUCUAUUGUUUUAUAGUUACUACAUUUUAAGCUGUUGUGCAUGUUAUCUGUCUUUGUUAUUGUGAAUAGGAGAUUGUAUUUUCAAACUUUA